rnacentral:rRNA from 1 species
GCAGUAGGGAUCUUCCACAAUGGACGCAAGUCUGAUGGAGCAACGCCGCGUGAGUGAAGAAGGGUUUCGGCUCGUAAAGCUCUGUUGUUAAAGAAGAACGUGGGUAAGAGUAACUGUUUACCCAGUGACGGUAUUUAACCAGAAAGCCACGGCUAACUACGUGCCAGCAGCCGCGGUAAUACGUAGGUGGCAAGCGUUAUCCGGAUUUAUUGGGCGUAAAGCGAGCGCAGGCGGUCUUUUAAGUCUAAUGUGAAAGCCUUCGGCUCAACCGAAGAAGUGCAUUGGAAACUGGGAGACUUGAGUGCAGAAGAGGACAGUGGAACUCCAUGUGUAGCGGUGAAAUGCGUAGAUAUAUGGAAGAACACCAGUGGCGAAGGCGGCUGUCUGGUCUGCAACUGACGCUGAGGCUCGAAAGCAUGGGUAGCGAACAGGAUUAGAUACCCUGGUAGUCCAUGCCGUAAACGAUGAUUACUAAGUGUUGGAGGGUUUCCGCCCUUCAGUGCUGCAGCUAACGCAUUAAGUAAUCCGCCUGGGGAGUACGACCGCAAGGUUGAAACUCAAAAGAAUUGACGGGGGCCCGCACAAGCGGUGGAGCAUGUGGUUUAAUUCGAAGCUACGCGAAGAACCUUACCAGGUCUUGACAUCUUCUGACAGUCUAAGAGAUUAGAGGUUCCCUUCGGGGACAGAAUGACAGGUGGUGCAUGGUUGUCGUCAGCUCGUGUCGUGAGAUGUUGGGUUAAGUCCCGCAACGAGCGCAACCCUUAUUACUAGUUGCCAGCAUUAAGUUGGGCACUCUAGUGAGACUGCCGGUGACAACCGGAGGA